rnacentral:rRNA from 1 species
GGCGAACGCUGGCGGCGUGCCUAAUACAUGCAAGUAGAACGCACAGUUUAUACCGUAGCUUGCUACACCAUAGACUGUGAGUUGCGAACGGGUGAGUAACGCGUAGGUAACCUGCCUGGUAGCGGGGGAUAACUAUUGGAAACGAUAGCUAAUACCGCAUAAUAUUAAUUAUUGCAUGAUAAUUAAUUGAAAGGUGCAAUUGCACCACUACCAGAUGGACCUGCGUUGUAUUAGCUAGUAGGUGAGGUAACGGCUCACCUAGGCGACGAUACAUAGCCGACCUGAGAGGGUGAUCGGCCACACUGGGACUGAGACACGGCCCAGACUCCUACGGGAGGCAGCAGUAGGGAAUCUUCGGCAAUGGACGAAAGUCUGACCGAGCAACGCCGCGUGAGUGAAGAAUGUUUUCGGAUCGUAAAGCUCUGUUGUAAGAGAAGAACGGGUGUGAGAGUGGAAAGUUCACACUGUGACGGUAUCUUACCAGAAAGGGACGGCUAACUACGUG